CUUUGGUUCCAGACUUUCUAAGAUCUAGCCAAUGACCACACAAGUCACAGCCAGUUCCAGCAACAAUGCCAGACAACACCCCAUUACAUUUAGACUUAC